AAUUAUUGUUUUAAAUUUUUUCCUCAUUCUUUGAAGAUUAAGGAUUAAUCGUGAGUAUGUGAGCAUGGCUCGAGGUGCUAGUAACUUCUGACCUGCUUGCCAUCGAGGGAGCAACGUCCGCGGCCUUUGGAUAAGCCACAAUAAUGCUACCCAGAGGUGAAGAGGACGUGGGAAGACCCAAAUGGAUUUCUUUAUUCAUGAAUUAUAUUAUUG